AGACCAGACUCCUACGGGAGGCAGCAGUGAGGAAUAUUGGUCAAUGGGCUUACGCCUGAACCAGCCAAGUCGCGUGAGGGAAGACUGCCCUAUGGGUUGUAAACCUCUUUUGUCAGGGAGCAACGCCGGCUACGUGUAGCCGGACUGAGAGUACCCGAAGAAAAAGCAUCGGCUAACUCCGUGCCAGCAGCCGCGGUAAUACGGAGGAUGCGAGCGUUAUCCGGAUUUAUUGGGUUUAAAGGGUGCGUAGGCGGACUGGAAAGUCAGCGGUAAAAUCGAGAGGCUCAACCUCUUUCCGCCGUUGAAACUGUCGGUCUUGAGUGGGCGAGAAGUAUGCGGAAUGCGCGGUGUAGCGGUGAAAUGCAUAGAUAUCGCGCAGAACUCCGAUUGCGAAGGCAGCAUGCCGGCUCCACACUGACGCUGAGGCACGAAAGCGUGGGUAUCGAACAGGAUUAGAUACCCCCGUAA
rnacentral:rRNA from 1 species